rnacentral:lncRNA from 1 species
GAACGGAAGCCAUUACACCUGUGAUUAAUAAAUCAGAAACAUCCUCUUCCAGAAAAGUCUACGUGAGGGUCCUAUGCAGGUCCAGGAGAACUGGGGAUUCUGAGAAAUUAGGACAGACGUGCACUAGGAACAGAAGAAAGAAUCAUACCUACUGGAAUGCACUCAGGCCAAGCCACAAACUGGAAACCAGAGUUAAGCCCAGGUUCUCCCUACCCCCACUACUGCUCAGAA